rnacentral:rRNA from 1 species
GAUGAACGCUGGCGGCGUGCCUAAUACAUGCAAGUCGAGCGAACGGACGAGAAGCUUGCUUCUCUGAUGUUAGCGGCGGACGGGUGAGUAACACGUGGAUAACCUACCUAUAAGACUGGGAUAACUUCGGGAAUCCGGAGCUAAUACCGGAUAAUAUUUUGAACCGCAUGGUUCAAAAGUGAAAGACGGUCUUGCUGUCACUUAUAGAUGGAUCCGCGCUGCAUUAGCUAGUUGGUAAGGUAACGGCUUACCAAGGCAACGAUGCAUAGCCGACCUGAGAGGGUGAUCGGCCACACUGGAACUGAGACACGGUCCAGAGUCCUACGGGAGGCAGCAGUAGGGAAUCUUCCGCAAUGGGCGAAAGCCUGACGGAGCAACGCCGCGUGAGUGAUGAAGGUCUUCGGAUCGUAAAACUCUGUUAUUAGGGAAGAACAUAUGUGUAAGUAACUGUGCACAUCUUGACGGUACCUAAUCAGAAAGCCACGGCUAACUACGUG